GUUUAAAGAUUGUAUUACAUUAUCUAAAAGUGCGAAAGUAAACCCCAGCUGUUAUUCUUUUCACAGGGAAGACAAUCCCCAUUAUGCCAUGAAUGUUUCAUUGCUGAACAACCGUAGAUAUUUUUCCUUUAAUUUGGCUCCCGUUCCUCCAACAGUGAGCAAGACCUGCCAGCAGAGCUCACUGGAGCAGGGAGACAUCCCGUCAUCCUUUUGGCGCCUGACAAAGUCAACUUUUUUUCUUCUAAAUACCACUAUAGUAACAUCUUCUGCACAAAGUGACAUUCCUAAUAAGAUUGGUGUUAAGUGAGAAAGAAUACUAAAGAUGGUCCAAUGGGUAUGGUCUGAAACCUCUUGUCAUCUCAGUAUGUUGAACCACCUGAUUUCUUGCAGGCUUGAGAUUCAGAUCCUGCUGAACGAUGUUAAGCAGUCGAUUAACCACAUGCAGGGGACGCUGAACACCAUGCAGCGGCAGUGUAUUGAGUUGCAGACUGCCAUAUCUAAGAUCAUCACAGCAGCCGAAGUUGCUGUGCAGAGGGAGGAGAUCGUCCAAGCAUCAGGCCUCAUCCUGUCACAGAGGGAGGGUAUCCUCCAAACAGCCAGUGUACCUUCACAGAGGGAGGGAAUCCUCCAAACAGCCAGUGUCCCUGCACAGAGGGAGGGAAUCCUCCAAACAGCCAGUGUCCCUGCACAGAGGGAGGGAAUCCUCCAAACAGCCAGUGUACCUUCACAGAGGGAGGGGAUUCUCUCAGCAGCUAGCAUCACUGUGCAGAGGGAGGAGAUCCUCCGAUCAUCAGGCCUCAUCCCUGCACAGAGGGAGGAGAUUCUCCAAACAGCCAGUGUCCCUGCACAGAGGGAGGAGAUUCUCCAAUCAGCCAGUGUCCCUGCACAGAGGGAGGAGAUUCUCCAAUCAGCCAGUGUCCCUGCACAGAGGGAGGGGUUUCUCCAAACAGCCAGUGUCCCUGCACAGAGGGAGGGGUUUCUCCAAACAGCCAGUGUCCCUGCACAGAGGGAGGGGAUUCUCCGAGCAUCAGGCCUCAUCCCUGCACAGAGGGAGGGGAUUCUUCCAGCAGCUUCUAUCACUGCUCGGAAGAAGAAGAUCCUCAGAGCAUCACACCUCACCCCUGCACAAAGGGAGUUGAUCCUCCUGAUGGCCAGUGUCACUGCGCAGAGGAAAGGAAUCUUCCCAAAGGCCAGCGUCCCUGCGCACAGGGAGUGGAUCGUCCCAAAGGCUAGUGUCCCUGCAGAGAGGGAGGAGAUCUUCCUCACAACCAGUGUCCCUGUGAAGAAUGGAAACAAUCAUCCACAACCACCUCCCAUCAUCCCCAUGGUAGCACCACUGUGGAAAUGGGAUGGUGGAGCGGGUACUCCACCUGUGGAUUUCUAUUCCAAGAGAAGAGGUCACUUACAUUUACAUUUAAGUCAUUUAGCAGACGCUCUUAUCCAGAGCGACUUACAAAUUCACUUAACCUUACCUAAUUUGUAAAGAAAUUACCAUUGUGAUAGCGUGAGAAUAAGUUGUGAUAGAUUAAAUGUACGGCUCAUGUGAGUAUAUAGCUGUAAUACUUUCAUGCAUUUUCUACAUACAACAGGUUUAGCUCCAUUUUACUUUUACAUUUUAGUCAUUUAGCAGACGCUCUUAUCCAGAGCGACUUACAGUAGUGAGUGUAUACAUUUACAUACUCCGGUGAAUCUCUCCAGGAUUUCACAUGGAUUUUUUUUUA
rnacentral:lncRNA from 1 species